UGUCUAGGGCGUCGACGGUGACUGGCUC
rnacentral:piRNA from 1 species